rnacentral:lncRNA from 1 species
UAGAAUAAACAACUCAAAUAGAAGCCCUAGAAGAAACAUCAGGAACAUAAGCUCCUAGCUCUCCUCCAACUAUUACAAGCUCUCCAACUGCUCCUAACUCUCCAGCUACUACUUCCUCUCAGGUUGUUGAUAGUGAUCUACUUGCUAGGUAUGCAAUAUAUUGUACUGUAUGUGAAUUCAUUAAUGUUAUAACUGUAAAUGUAGUAAUUGGCCUUGAUUGUAUUCAUGUUUCUCAGUCCAAGGAAAAAAUUUCAGAAGGCCAGCUCCUAGAGGUGUCAAGUGGGGGUCACCAAAUAAGAAGCAGAAGUCUAGCAUGGUACCAACUCUGAGCACAAGGAGCAAGGCUGCUAUUCCUCCUGCCAACACUAGGAGCAAGAUGACCAAACUGAAGUGAUCAUGAUGUGUUUGUGGUGUGAAUGUUGGUUUGUAAUGUUGUGGUGUGAACUAUUGUCUUAAGGUGCUGGGUGUGAACUUAUGAGUUUGUCUGCUGUUUAAAUACUGGCUGUGAACUUAUGUGUUUUGUAAUGAUUUGUUGUGAACUAUUCCAGUAUAAUGUGCUAUGAACUACUAAUUUGUGCUCACAUUUGCCCCUACAUAUCUUAUCAAUGUUUAGUUUUGC